AGAGUACGUGAAACCGCUUAGAGGUAAACGGGUGGACCCGCAAAGUCGGCCCGGGGAAUUCAACUUGGCUUGUUUGGGGCGACGGGCAGUCGGUUCCAGGGAUCCGUAAAGACCCAGCCGGCGCUUAGGUUGCCGUGGCCGAGUGCACUUUCCUCGGGUAGAGCGCCACGACCGGCUUCGGGGCGGUGACAAGCCGGCCGGAAAGGUGACUUCUCCCUUCGCGGGGAGAAGAGUUAUAGUCCGGCCAGGUCGACUCGUCUCGAGGCCGAGGAUUUGCCGCACCUCGACGGCCCUCGGCUCUAUCAGUGCGUUUGACUGGGGAAGCACUGCUUGUCAGUUUUCCCCCACUGCGCACGGUUAAAAGUCGGGAAGCCACGGGGACGCUGUCAGUGCGAA
rnacentral:rRNA from 1 species